UCUCACGUAGAUGCACCCACUGGUACCAGUCUUAGACUGGUGUAAAUCAGGAGUAGCCCUUUUGAAAUAAAUAGAUUUGCCCAGGAAAAACACUGGUAUAUGUGAAAGGAGAAUUAUACCCUAUGCUUGUAUGGAGGUUGUGGAGUGAUUCAAGCAUAUUCCUUUUGACAGUACUUCACUGACUCAGUAUUUGGUUGUUCAACUUUAAUUGUGUGUUCAUGGUAGAUUGUAUGUACGUAUGCAUGCAAGCAUGCGCAUUCACAUCUGUGGGUAUGGAUAAAUACAAAUACCAUUUCAGUUUUGGGACAUAAAUAUGAUGAAGAAAUAAAUGACACACAUUCUUGCACUUCUGUUAAGUAAAUCCAGUCAAACAAUAUUUAUCAAACAAUCCAUUCACAACAUUUUGCAAUAAUUCAUCACUUGAGUUAUUUGAUAUAUAAUUUUUCAUAUUUUUUGUCCUGCUCUUUAUAUAAGUAGGUCAGACAGUGUUUGUUUCAUAACUAAUUUCAUUAACUUUUUGAGCUCCAUGUUGCUUAAAUUAUUUAUGGGUCAUAUUUAUAUGUUAUUCAACCAUUCUGCUAAAAUGUAUGUAGCAUCUGCUGUGUUAGUCAGAAUGAACAUGCACAUACAGAUAUUUUCAGCUGUGGCAUCAAUCUGUCUUAAUCUCCCUGGAUGCAAACCAUACAGUAUUAUCUAAUUUACCACACAACUCUUGACAGCUUUGUUCCUGAUUAAAGUUCAAGUCUGUGCUUUCUAAUUAAAGCUUUAUGAGCAGGUUAACUGCACUUUGAAUUCAUUUAUAACAACCUAAGACAUGACAAAAAUAUUAGCUGCAGCUAAAUUUGUUACAAGUGGAAAUUAACUGUGUUUUACCCAGAUUCUGGUAAUAAUGAGAUAGUAUCAUCAGAGGCAACCUUAACAAGAAAAACUGGCUACCAUAGCUGAGCUACAACAAAUGAGGCUUUCAUUUGUAAUGUAUUCAGGUAAAAGAAAACUGCAGGCUACUUUUAAAUAGAUGUGUGGCCUGCAUUUGCAGAGAAGCUUUCACCCUUUAGGAGCCUCCUGGUGCUUUACAAGCUUUACUCCCUCUUCUCUGUUUUUAGGACUCGAUUGUGCUCUGCUUCCUGCACAGCUAUACAAGCUGGAGAGACCCCUUGCCCCUGUGUCAUGGGCCUACUGAGAGACUGAAUGGUAUCAGUUCCUGAGCUCACCUGAGGAAUAGGACUGUGUGAAGCAAGUGUGCAGAUAGCACCACUGCUCAGUAUUUCAUAACACUGGCCUGUUGUACCAGCUGUCUCAAAGCAGUCGUGCACCACGUACCCUUUGUAGAAGUAUGACUCAGAUGGUUUCUUAGCCCCACAAAUCUUUUUUAAUACUAUUGCUUGUACUCCAGUCCUACUCCACUGACAUCAGUGUCCCCACUGCACCCAGCCAAGGAGACAAGACAAGAAGAAGAAUGGGAAGUGUGUGAGCAUUUUCUUAGCAACAUCAACAGACUGCUUCCGGUUUUCUAGCGCUGCUCAGGAUGGUUACAGUCUCCAAAGCUGUCUUCUCUCUCAUGGUCUGUGCAAGAAAAACCCAGAACAGGAAGUAUGUUGGGUGCAAGGUACAUUUUAGCAGCAGAACUAAAACCACCAACAUCAACUCUAAAAAACAGAUGGCUGAGAAAAGUAAAAUAUAGUUCAUUCAGGAAGCUCAUAUGUGGCACAUUAGUAUUUUAAUAAUGUGGUUAGGUAUGCAGUUUUGAAACAAAACUCGGGCCAAACUCAUGUGACAGCUCUAAUGUGAUUUGAAAACCCUGGGUUAUUUCUCCUUCUGUCUCCAGUGCUAUCAUGUGUAAAUUUAGUGCAUCUUAGUACUUUUGGGGUCUGGCUGACACUAAAAGCCCUGUGGGAAAACCCUUUUCUGAAUAUGAAUCUUAAUAGAGAACAAACACUGCAGCUCAACCUUGUAAUACUUCAGAGAUUUUAGGUGGUCCAAGCCAGAUCACCUUACUCAGAUAACACAACAAACUUCAGUGUCAGUGGAACUAAUUGUGUCCACAAGGAAAAUAUGGCCCUUUGCUUUCAUUGAAAUUUUCCAUUUUCAUUUUUCUUCAACAAAAAUAAUUCUAAAAUAAGUGAUUUUUUCCACUUUUGCAAAAAUUUUCGCAGAGGAAAUUGAUAAUUUCCCCAUCUCCUAUAUGCAAGUCCAUUUGCAACGCAAAAAGGAUAAGACCAGUAGAACCACAGAAUCAUAGAAAAUUAGGGUUGGAAGAGACCUCAGGAGGUCAUCAGUUAGUGUGAGUAUUUCAAAGGUUCAUUAGCUCAGGAGUAGGAGCUAUCACAUUCAUCAGUGAAGCUAAACAUAUAUUCCCAUGUCCUUGCCUUAACCCUCCUAUCACAUAAACUGACAUAUUGAAAAAGUGCACGGAUCAUUUUGAAGGAAGCACAUAGUCACGAUUGCUUCUAUAUGAGAAUGUGGUUAGGGGCUGUACUGAAAAGUGGUUUUAACUGAAAGGAUGAGUACUACUCUGAAUUCCAGCAAGUCACUGCAAGUCCAAAUUUUUUAGCAGCAAUCUCAUAGCAGUUCCAGUCUGCACUGAAUAUGCUUUGAAACAAGCCCCACGUAAAAUUUAACCGUCUCACCCCUCAGGAGUACUUUUUCUUGAGAAAUAUUAACAUACAUGUGGAUUGCAAACACAGUGUUUUGCUGUGGUUUUAAAUGAUAAACAUCCCUCAAAUUCAGGGCAGUCAGGAUUUUGGAUUUGAGGCAAAUUAGUGCUAUUUAUGAAAUUGAAUUGAUGCUGAGUUUUUAUGUGCCUCAAAGUCUGACUGUGCCCAUACCAUACCCAUGGUUUUUCUUCAGGCCCAUCUUUCAGUAAGUACAAUUCGUUUGCUUUCAAAGCUGUUUCUGUUCAUUGCUUGGCUUUGUUUUGUGAAGAUUUUCUGUUUUCAGUUCCGGUACAAUAAAUAAACUUGUACAUAUAAAGGUCAAUUUCAGGUCAAGCUAGUUUCUUUCUUGCAGUGUGGAAGGAAUGUUUUAUUCUGUAAAAACUAGUGAAUUGCAAAACAUUUUGAAAGGUGUACUAGAAAAGGAAUACUAGAGGUUAUUAAUCAGACCAUAUUGGGGGUUUAUUCUUGUAGGUGAGUAGUAUUAAUGUGUCUUAAAUGUGGUCAAAAUGCACUGCACCCCUGAAAUAAUCCAGGCAGUUACAUACCAGGCAAAAUGUAUCCCAUAGUUUGUUUCUUAAAGGCUGUUGUUAAAAUGAAUUGACAGAAUUAAGCACUUCAACUGUAGGGAAUAAAAUUAAAAUUUUCCCAGCUUUG